rnacentral:rRNA from 1 species
GUGACAGCAGCCGCGGUAAUACGUAGGCAGCAAGCGUUGUUCGGAGUUACUGGGCGUAAAGGGUGUGUAGGCGGUUCUUUAAGUUUGGUGUGAAAUCUCCCGGCUCAACCGGGAGGGUGCGCCGAAUACUGAGGGACUAGAGUGUGGGAGAGGAAAGUGGAAUUCCUGGUGUAGCGGUGAAAUGCGUAGAUAUCAGGAGGAACACCGGUGGUGUAGACGGCUUUCUGGACCAUAACUGACGCUGAGACACGAAAGCGUGGGGAGCAAACAGGAUUAGAUACCCCUGUAGUCC